AUGUACCAGGUUCAGCCACCCUAUCAUAAACAUAUCAGUGUCCAGAACCAAAUGGAACCAAAUAAACUUUCCAUUGUAAGUUAUCCAGCCUUCUGCAUUCAGAUGAAUAAUCACAGAAAGGCCACAAUUUUACAAGAUGUUUCAGUGACAUCCAGAGGUGAUUGCUGUGGACAGCUUUCUGUGAAGAUGCCUUUGUCACUAUUAUUGAGAGCCCACACUCUGCAAAGGAAUUCUCCCAAACUUGAAAACAGAAGGAAUGAUGAAGAGGAGGAAUAUGUUUGA
rnacentral:lncRNA from 1 species